rnacentral:tRNA from 1 species
GGAAGAGAAUCGUCCCUGGUGGGGCGUUCGGACUUCAAAUCCGGGUGAGGCAGCCAGCUGUCUCAGGUGGGUUCGACUCCCGCUCUCUUCCGCCA